CGCAUCUUAGACUCAUAGUGCGUUGAGAAGACGCUAGAUUCAAAAGGUUCCCCACUCACUGCAUUUAAUAAUAUUCUAGGAAAAAAACCACCAUUGGGCCUGCAGAGGGGGAGAGGUUGACAAUUUAAGGAGCUGGAACAUUUGGAGGCCGCUCUGCCUUGAUCAUUGUGGAAGAAUCUGUGUUCCAAAGUAGUCGCACCAUGUCGCAUCCCCUCCAGCUGAGGUAUGAGGCUGCCACUGGCUUCACACCCCCGGCAGCACCCCCUCCACACCACACGGCUACUAGCUGGACGCCUCAGCUCUUUGCGACAUGGGUCUCUCCACGGCACAUCCCACGCCUCCCUGAGAGCAGACCAAAGGCUAGAGGACGCCAAAAAGAGAAGCUGCAGCCUUUUUGUAACCUGCCUUGCAGUGACAUUCCUGCAAUUUGUGUUCUUAUUAGAAGGAGUUGGUCACAAGACCCUGCCCACUUUCAAGGGGAGGAGAUCACACAGCUGUGCGAGUAGCAGGGGCCGGAGAUCACUGGGGCCAUGUCAGAAGGCUGCCACGGUACCCUUCCAGUUGGUCAUCUGCUGCUUUUCUCAGGUAUUAGGCGGUGAGUCUUUACUUGUGAAACUUGAUGCAGAUGCAGGGGUCCCAUUCUCAGGUUCUCGAUCUCCUUGGGUCAGGAUCUCUGUGGGUAGCAGUGCACCUCUGUGUAUUCCUCUCUUUCUGGGACCCCAUGGGUCUUCCUAGUGCGGGCCGUGUCAGGAAUCACUAGGUAGGUGGGUAUUUCCCUGUAUGAAUGACAGCUGCAAAUACUGCUUACAAGUUUGUUUUUUUUUCCUUCAAAUAAUAUCAAAAAUAAAUGUGUCCCAGUUCCUAGGUC